UACGUAGGGUGCAAGCGUUAAUCGGAAUUACUGGGCGUAAAGCGUGCGCAGGCGGUUAUGUAAGACAGGUAUGAAAUCCCCGGGCUUAACCUGGGAACUGCAUUUGUGACUGCAUAGCUAGAGUACGGUAGAGGGGGAUGGAAUUCCGCGUGUAGCAGUGAAAUGCGUAGAUAUGCGGAGGAACACCGAUGGCGAAGGCAAUCCCCUGGACCUGUACUGACGCUCAUGCACGAAAGGCGUGGGGAGCAAACAGG
rnacentral:rRNA from 1 species